AUCUACUCCAUCCGAUUAGUUCCGGGUUCGAAUCC
rnacentral:tRNA from 21 species